GAUGAAGAACGUAGCAAAAUGCGAUAAGUAAUGUGAAUUGCAGAAUUCAGUGAAUCAUCGAAUCUUUGAACGCACAUUGCGCCCGCUGGUAUUCCGGCGGGCAUGCCUGUUCGAGCGUCAUUUCAACCCUCAAGCCCCCGGGUUUGGUGUUGGGGAUCGGCUCUGCCCUUCUGGGCGGUGCCGCCCCCGAAAUACAUUGGCGGUCUCGCUGUAGCUUCCUCUGCGUAGUAGCACACCUCGCACUGGGAAACAGCGCGGCCACGCCGUUAAACCCCCAACUUCUGAACGUUUGACCUCGGAUCAGGUAGGAAUACCCGCUGAACUUAAGCAUAUCAAUAAGCGGAGGA
rnacentral:misc_RNA from 1 species